rnacentral:rRNA from 1 species
UGCAAGUCGAGCGGAACGAUGGAGCUUGCUCCAGGCGUCGAGCGGCGGACGGGUGAGUAAUGCAUAGGAAUCUGCCCGGUAGUGGGGGAUAACCUGGGGAAACCCAGGCUAAUACCGCAUACGUCCUACGGGAGAAAGCAGGGGAUUUUCGGACCUUGCGCUAUCGGAUGAGCCUAUGUCGGAUUAGCUUGUUGGUGAGGUAAUGGCUCACCAAGGCGACGAUCCGUAGCUGGUCUGAGAGGAUGAUCAGCCACAUCGGGACUGAGACACGGCCCGAACUCCUACGGGAGGCAGCAGUGGGGAAUAUUGGACAAUGGGCGCAAGCCUGAUCCAGCCAUGCCGCGUGUGUGAAGAAGGCUUUCGGGUUGUAAAGCACUUUCAGUGAGGAAGAACGCCUUGGGGCCAAUACCCCCGAGGAAGGACAUCACUCACAGAAGAAGCACCGGCUAACUCCGUGCCAGCAGCCGCGGUAAUACGGAGGGUGCGAGCGUUAAUCGGAAUUACUGGGCGUAAAGCGCGCGUAGGCGGCGUGAUAAGCCGGUUGUGAAAGCCCCGGGCUCAACCUGGGAACGGCAUCCGGAACUGUCAGGCUAGAG